AGAAGCGGGGGACAACAUUUGGAAACAGAUGCUAAUACCGCAUAACAACGUUGUUCGCAUGAACAACGCUUAAAAGAUGGCUUCUCGCUAUCACUUCUGGAUGGACCUGCGGUGCAUUAGCUUGUUGGUGGGGUAACGGCCUACCAAGGCGAUGAUGCAUAGCCGAGUUGAGAGACUGAUCGGCCACAAUGGGACUGAGACACGGCCCAUACUCCUACGGGAGGCAGCAGUAGGGAAUCUUCCACAAUGGGCGCAAGCCUGAUGGAGCAACACCGCGUGAGUGAAGAAGGGUUUCGGCUCGUAAAGCUCUGUUGUUAAAGAAGAACACGUAUGAGAGUAACUGUUCAUACGUUGACGGUAUUUAACCAGAAAGUCACGGCUAACUACGUGCCAGCAGCCGCGGUAAUACGUAGGUGGCAAGCGUUAUCCGGAUUUAUUGGGCGUAAAGAGAGUGCAGGCGGUUUUCUAAGUCUGAUGUGAAAGCCUUCGGCUUAACCGGAGAAGUGCAUCGGAAACUGGAUAACUUGAGUGCAGAAGAGGGUAGUGGAACUCCAUGUGUAGCGGUGGAAUGCGUAGAUAUAUGGAAGAACACCAGUGGCGAAGGCGGCUACCUGGUCUGCAACUGACGCUGAGACUCGAAAGCAUGGGUAGCGAACAGGAUUAGAUACCCUGGUAGUCCAUGCCGUAAACGAUGAGUGCUAGGUGUUGGAGGGUUUCCGCCCUUCAGUGCCGGAGCUAACGCAUUAAGCACUCCGCCUGGGGAGUACGACCGCAAGGUUGAAACUCAAAGGAAUUGACGGGGGCCCGCACAAGCGGUGGAGCAUGUGGUUUAAUUCGAAGCUACGCGAAGAACCUUACCAGGUCUUGACAUCUUGCGCCAACCCUAGAGAUAGGGCGUUUCCUUCGGGAACGCAAUGACAGGUGGUGCAUGGUCGUCGUCAGCUCGUGUCGUGAGAUGUUGGGUUAAGUCCCGCAACGAGCGCAACCCUUGUUACUAGUUGCCAGCAUUAAGUUGGGCACUCUAGUGAGACUGCCGGUGACAAACCGGAGGAAGGUGGGGACGACGUCAGAUCAUCAUGCCCCUUAUGACCUGGGCUACACACGUGCUACAAUGGACGGUACAACGAGUCGCGAACUCGCGAGGGCAAGCAAAUCUCUUAAAACCGUUCUCAGUUCGGACUGCAGGCUGCAACUCGCCUGCACGAAGUCGGAAUCGCUAGUAAUCGCGGAUCAGCAUGCCGCGGUGAAUACGUUCCCGGGCCUUGUACACA
rnacentral:rRNA from 2 species